UACGUAGGUGGCAAGCGUUGUCCGGAUUUAUUGGGUUUAAAGGGUGCGUAGGCGGCUUUGUAAGUCAGUGGUGAAAUAUGGCAGCUCAACUGUCAAGGUGCCAUUGAUACUGCGGAGCUUGAGUACAGAUGAGGUAGGCGGAAUUGACGGUGUAGCGGUGAAAUGCUUAGAUAUCGUCAAGAACACCUAUAGCGAAGGCAACUUACUAGGCUGUAACUGACGCUGAGGCACGAAAGUGUGGGGAUCAAACAGG
rnacentral:rRNA from 1 species